rnacentral:lncRNA from 1 species
UACCGAAGCGAUUAGGUCGCUUCCAUGCUAAGGGGGCAUUUGGAUUGACGUAUUUGUAGAUUCGACAUAAGUCAAGUGUAGUGGUGUUUGAGUUUUCCUGAAGUGUGAUUAUUUUUUUGUUGUUUGUUUUGACGUAACUUGUACCGCCUGAAUGUUAAAUUCAAUCACUUUUGUUGUUUGUUUUGAUGUAACUUGGUGCUGGUAAAAUUAGUUUUUUGAGUUCCGUUGUUUGUUUUGAUAUAAGUAAGUGGAUCUUAUUAUCUCCUAAAUAUAGUAGUAAAUUUACCACUAUAAAAUUUAAUCUAUUAUAUAAUUAAUUUUUUUAUUAUUAUUUAAAGAUAAUCCUAAUUUAUUAUAAAUAAGGUAAUUCUAACCCAUUAUAAAGGAAGUAGAGUUUAGGUUUUACUGUUUAAUAAAUUUUUUAGAGGAGGUUGAGUGUAGUGAAAGUCGAGUUCGGCACUUUAGAGGAGGAAGUCGAGAGUAGGUGAAGUGGAGCUCUAACGUAACUUGAGUUACAUUAUAUUUUUCACUUACAUCAAAACAAAUAACGGAAGUGAUGGAACUUGAGUUCCAUCACUCCACUUACACCAAAACAAACGGGUCCUAAAGUGAAGUGUGUUUCAUUAUUAAUGCAUGAAGUGAUAGUUAAAUGCUAAAGUGAAUGAAUGAGUUAGAUUCUAAUUAUAAAUGCAUAAGAUGUAUGCUAAAUGAAUGUGUAAGAUAUAUGCUAAAUAAAUGCAUGAGACAUAUGCUAAAUAACAUGAAUUAGAUGCAUGAGCUAGACGUUAUAU